GCGUUAGCAGCACAGACACUGAAAUUGGAACGCUAUACAGAAGAGUAGGCUGGCCCCCGUGCAGGGAUGACACACACAUCCGUAAAGUGUUCCAUGUUUUU
rnacentral:snRNA from 1 species